rnacentral:rRNA from 1 species
UUGAACGCUGGCGGUAUGCUUAACACAUGCAAGUCGAACGGAAACGAUACUAGCUUGCUAGUAGGCGUCGAGUGGCGGACGGGUGAGUAACGCGUAGGAAUCUACCUGAUAGUGGGGGAUAGCCCGAAGAAAUUCGGAUUAAUACCGCAUAAUCUAUUCGUAGUAAAGUGGGGGACUUUCGAGCCUCACGCUAUCAGAUGAGCCUGCGUAAGAUUAGCUAGUUGGUAGGGUAAAAGCCUACCAAGGCAACGAUCUUUAGCUGGUCUGAGAGGAUGAUCAGCCACAUCGGGACUGAGACACGGCCCGAACUCCUACGGGAGGCAGCAGUGGGGAAUAUUGGACAAUGGGGGCAACCCUGAUCCAGCAAUACCGCGUGUGUGAAGAAGGCCUGAGGGUUGUAAAGCACUUUCAAUUGUGAAGAAAAGCUAGUGGUUAAUAGCCAUUAGCCUUGACGUUAACUUUAGAAGAAGCACCGGCUAACUCCGUGCCAGCAGCCGCGGUAAUACGGAGGGUGCAAGCGUUAAUCGGAAUUACUGGGCGUAAAGCGUGCGUAGGCGGUUUAUUAAGUCAGAUGUGAAAGCCCCGGGCUUAACCUGGGAACUGCAUUUGAAACUGGUCAACUAGAGUAUGGUAGAGGAAAGUGGAAUUUCUGGUGUAGCGGGUGAAAUGCGUAGAUAUCAGAAGGAACAUCAAUGGCGAAGGCAACUUUCUGGACCAAUACUGACGCUGAGGUACGAAAGCGUGGGUAGCAAACAGGAUUAGAUACCCUGGUAGUCCACGCCGUAAACGAUGAUAACUAGCCGUUGGGGGGAUUUACCCCUUAGUGGCGAAGCUAACGCGUUAAGUUAUCCGCCUGGGGAGUACGGCCGCAAGGUUAAAACUCAAAGGAAUUGACGGGGACCCGCACAAGCGGUGGAGCAUGUGGUUUAAUUCGAUGCAACGCGAAGAACCUUACCUGGUCUUGACAUCCUGAGAACUUUCUAGAAAUAGAUUGGUGCCUUCGGGAACUCAGUGACAGGUGCUGCAUGGCUGUCGUCAGCUCGUGUCGUGAGAUGUUGGGUUAAGUCCCGUAACGAGCGCAACCCCUAUCCUUAUUUGCCAGCACAUCAUGGUGGGAACUAUAAGGAGACUGCCGGUGAUAAACCGGAGGAAGGCGGGGACGACGUCAAGUCAUCAUGGCCCUUACGACCAGGGCUACACACGUGCUACAAUGGGAAGGACAAAGAGCCGCGAAGCCGCGAGGUGUAGCUAAUCUCAGAAACCUUUUCGUAGUCCGGAUUGGAGUCUGCAACUCGACUCCAUGAAGUCGGAAUCGCUAGUAAUCGUAGAUCAGAAUGCUACGGUGAAUACGUUCCCGGGUCUUGUACUCACCGC